rnacentral:lncRNA from 1 species
GAACACCCCCCACCCCUCAUCUCGUCUCCCUCCACUCCUCAAACUCAAAGAAAUCACCAUGAACCCUAAUCCAAGCCGCCACAAAACCCCACCGCCUGAGGGUGGCGGCGCCACCUCCAAUCCCGCCCAAAAACACACCUAAAUCUCCUCGACUCCCUUAGCCCAUAUCUGAAAUCAUUGGCCUUCGAAUAUCAACCAAAAGUCUCGAAUUUUAGAUCGAAGUUCUGGGCCAAAGCACAAACUCACCCAAAUCCGACCAAAGUAACACCAAAUCAUAUUCUCUCUUCCUUCAUCGCAAAUUUCUACGUGGUUUCUGUCAAAUAUCACCGGAACUCGUUGAAUCGUGAAUCAAGGGCUGUUGAAAUUCAAGUCUGUUUGAAGGUUCAUUAGCUCGAUUGACUUUGAGCUAAUGUUACAUGUUAAUUUUAGACAAAACGAACACGCAACAUUAACUCGAAGCCAAGUUCGAGGCCAGUCAAGCCACGAGGGUGUCGAAAAUCAGUGAGUUCCAUUCAUUUUAUUUAUUUUUUCCUAUUCAUUAUUUUUAGUAGUUUAUUUUUGUGACUUUGUUUUCAGUUAAUAGGAAUUCUAUGUGCUUUUGAUUAAAUAUUAGAUUAGUUAGAUGAACUUCUGUUUAAGUUUCUGUUUGGAUUAAUCAUUUAGUAUAAUUGGGUCGCUUUGACAUUUGAAUCAAGUGUCUUGCAUAGCUAGGUUAGUUGAUCGACAAUUUAGUCUAGGUAUCUUUUAAAUUGAAUAAUUUUGCUUCUAGAUUUGUUGUUCUGAUUGAAUCUUGUUCGCAUCACUAUGUUCUAAUAGUUGUUUGAAUCGACGAUUAGUUGAUUUCCAGCUCAGUAGUUAUUCAGUUAGUUAGGUUCAUGGUUGAUUACAGUAGAUUGUUUUUAUAACAAUGAGUUAGUAAUUUCAGGGGGCUUUCAAGGGUAGUUUAGGCAUAGAAUAGGGUAAUUUUAUUAGGUUUGGUAAUUUCAAAACAUGGGUAAGGGUAGUAUAGGCACUGUAUAGCUAAAAGAACCUUCCAAGGCAUUCCAAAUGGGGCUUUAGUGUAAGUUUUAAUAAUUCUGGUAGUAGUUACUUGGUAAACAAGUUAGAAAUAGGAGGGUUAAAAUAAAAAUAGGUAGGGACUUAUAGUGCAAAUAGAAGAUUAGAGGGCUGCCCUCUUUUGGCUUAUAAAAUGGCAUUUCCAUGCCUUUAUUCACAAGUUUUGGCAGCCUGAAAAUUCCCCAAAAAAAUACUUCCCAAAGCUUCCAGAUCUGGAGUGAAAACUUCAGAUCUGAAAUUUUCUUAGACUUUUAACUUCUUCAAAAGAAAAACAACAAAAAACUUCAAAAAUCAAAAGAGGCCACUAUUUCAUUUGGAAUUGUAGGAUAAUUUGGAUGUUCUAUUCAUGGAUGCACCUCUCUUAGUUCUGUCAUUGAUUGCGGAAAGUUUAGAGAUCCAUUAGUUGUGUUUCGAGUAAGAUUACUGAGGUUCAAGGGGGUUUACUGUUCAGCUGCAAUUUUCUCUCAUUUUGGGUCCAAGUUCAAGUUAAUCUGAGUGCGUUCAAGUGUGUUGUUCGAGUUACUGUUUCUAUUUGAUUUCAAAUUUCUCCUGAAUUAUCAAGUUCAACCUCUGGACUAUACUUGAUUUCUGGACUGUUGCCGCUGAUCUAUCAAUUUUCUAUUUUGUGUCGAAUUUUAGGUACAUGUUUCAGCCCGCUCAGUAUAAUAUCUCCUGUGGAAUGGAAAUGUAUUAGGUUUCUUAGAAAAGGUUUAUAUUUUGGCAUAUUCAUCUCUGUGAUCCAAUGUUAAUUGAAUAACGUUGACUUAACUGUAAUCAUUGGCUAAUACAAUCAGUGUCAAUUGGAUUUAAUUGUUGAAAGCCAUUACUUAAAGUGAGUUUGACAUUCAAUGAGUUUGUGCAUUUUGGUAUAAUAGUUAAGAGGCAUUGGAAAUUGGACCUUUGUGUCUGUACUGGAUUCGAUCCCAAACCUUGGCAUCACAGCCACCUGAUUUGCUCAGUACUCCCAUUGGGCCAUCUGUUUUCAUUUGGGCCCCUACCAGUGCAUUUCGUGUUUUAUAGAAUUUUGUUGCUUCUCGUUGCUUGGAUACGAUGCCCACUGUUCGGGAUUGCUGGAACUUAAACAAUUGGCCUGUCGCAGGUGUAUUGUGAAAAAAUUCAGUUUUUAUUAAAGGUGACGUGGCAUGACACGUGGAUUGGUCUAACAGUCAAAGAGCAAUAAAUGAUUAAAAUGCACGGAAGACAACAUGCACGGUAGAAGAAAAGAAAACAGGCACGAGAAGGAAUCUUAGAUACGAUUCUCAUGUCUAUCCAAGACAUUCAAUAUCAACGGAUAAAAAGUGCAUUGAAGACACGAAUCUAAUGACAAAAUGUAGUCUACAUUCAUUAUUAAAUACCUGAUACGUUAGUUAUUCAGUGUUAAAUAGCAAUGAUUAUGUAACGUCUCAUUAAAUGCUCUUUAUUAUUUAGAAUAAUCCGUUACUCCUUGUCAACUAUAAAAGGAGGAAGUUUUAUCAUUUGUAGACACAGAACUCUCUUGAGAUCAUAGUGAAAUACAACUUUCUUAUUGCUUUAUUCGUAUUCUUUGAAAGCCAAUUAUAUUUCGGUCUCUU